AUUUUUUUAAAUUUUGUUUAUAUAUUUAUUUAUUUAUUUUGAGAUGAAGUCUCAUUCUGUUGCCUAGGCUGGAGUACAGUGGCACAAUCUUGGCUCACUGCAACCUCUGCCUCCCAGGUUCAAGCAAUUCUCUCAGCCUCCCAAGUAGCUGGGAUUAUAGGCAUAUGCCACCAUGCCAGGCUAAUUUUUGUAUUUUUUGUAGACACAGGGUUUUGCCAUGUUGGCCAGGCUGGUCUCAAACUCCUGACCAGCCCUCCUUGACCUUCCAAAGUGCUGGGAUUAUAGGCGUGAGCCAUUGCACCUGGCCCAGUUCCCUGGGAUACAUGUGUUUUAAUUCAUUUUCUGUUGCUAGUAACAGAAUACCUGAAACUGGGUAAUUUAUAAGGAAAAGAAAUUUAUUUCUUACAGUGAUGGAGGUUGAGAAGUCCAACUUCAAGGCACCACAUCUGGUGAGAGCCUUCAUUCCGAUGACAGCCUUCAUGCUGGUAAGAUUUUCUUCAGAGUUCCAAGGUGGUGCACGGCAUCACAUGGCGAAGGAAAUGAGCGUGCUAGCUCAGGUGUCUCUUCCUCUUCUUAUAAAGCCACCAGUCCCACUCCUGUGCUAGUAACUCUUUAAUCCAUCAACCCAUUAAUCCAUGAAUAGAUUAACCCAUGAGGCCUCUGCCCUCAGGACCCAAUCACCUCUUAAAGGCCUGACCUGUCAAUAUUGCCAUACUGGGGACUCAGUUUCAACAUGAGUUUUGAAAGGGACAAACAUUCAAUCCAUAGUAACAUGAGAGCUUUUCAAAGCCCUUCUUUGUUGAAGUAUGUCCUUCUCCAGCCUCUUUUUUCCCAGGCUUUUUGUUUUUUCUAUUGCUUGUGCAGCUGUUAUCCUUUGCUACAGGUGGCAAUAGCUAAUACAUUUGCCUUUAAAUUUGUUUGACAAACACCACCCUGGAAGUAGCCUCAACUCUGGGGAAGCUCCAAGACAGGUAAAAUACAGCAACCUGCAGCAGGAAAAUGGGCUUCAGUUUUCAAGUCUGCAGCUGAGUUGGGAAGUUGCGGACAGUAACCAGAAGUGGAAGAAACAUCAGAGAGCUCUCCCUCUCCACACACACAGAGGAAAGGCCACAUGGGGACAAGAGAGGGCAACUGUCUACAAAUCUGGAAGAGAGACUUCAGAAGAAACCAGCACUGAUGGCAUCUGAUCUUGGACUUCCAGCCUCUGGAUCUAUCUGCCAGAGCCUGAUCUCAUACACACUGAUGUGGUACAGGAAAUGCCACCUGAAAAUAUGGUACCUUGGCAUUUGAGGAAACAGUAGAAGGAGGUCAUAGAAACUAGAAAGAAUUCCUCCUUGCUCUUUGUCCCCCAAAGGAGCCAUAAAACCUGGGCCGAGUUUCUUCUGAAAAUAAGUUAUAAGAUCCUUAUUCCAGAGGGGUCCUGCCCUGUGCCUGGAGGAAAAGAAUGAAGACACAGAGAUGCCUUGAAGAAUCUGAACAAACAGCCCUUGCUAAGUUCCCCCCAGUUUAUUGACAUUAGAUUAGACCUUUUGUCCUCCAAUUAUACUUCUGUGUUCCUGAAAAUACACAUUUUCCCGUUUUUUCUUUUGUUUGCUUUUUUUGAUCUUCAUUUCUGAAGAUUCCCAUGUCAUGUAAAAUAUAUGUUAAACAAAU
rnacentral:lncRNA from 1 species